rnacentral:lncRNA from 1 species
CUUGUGCUUUUGUCCCAAUAAUUUUGUUUAAUCACUAUUGCAUAUGCUUGCAUUAAAUUUGAUGGGUCCUAUUAAGGUUUGCCUAGUUUUUAUGAUUAUUCCUUGCCAACCUGGGUUUACCUUUCUGUUGGGUAGCUAUGCUUAGCUGCUAUACUUGGGUUAUGGUGGUUCUAAUGAACAAAGAUGAUGAACCUAUUUUAUUUAUGCUACACCUUUCUUUAAUUCAAGAUCAUUAUGUUAAUUGGAACAUGGAGAACCACCCAGGAAAACAGUGCUACCACAAGACUAAAUGGCUCUGGUCUUGGCUGAAUAAUUAGAAACUCUAGUUUGGGGUAACCUUACCGAAAGGGCAAGAGGGGAGGCGUUGAUGGGAUAUAGCACUCGCUCUCUUGGGAAGUGGGCUUGGCUAAGACACUAUACCCUCUAGGGGACUGCUAUGUUUCGCUUCGACCUGAAACCUUAGCGGGUUACCACAUUGCUAGCGAAUCUUUGUAAAGGCCUCGUAGCGUCCCUAUGCAAUCACACCUCGGAAGUGUGGUAUUGUGCCUGAUCAGCACAAGUGUGGUUGGGUCUAAAGUUCUUUUGAACUUUUACGCAACUUGUGGGUAAAGAUGUGCAACCUCUACAGAGUGUAAAACUGAUCGAUCAGCCGUGCUCACGGUUAAGAGCGGCCUGGACCCUCACAUGAGUAAUAUACUUGAAGAUGGAUUUAAAUUGUGGUUUAUGCUAUGGUUAUGGUUGUGCCAUAUGCUUAUGGCUUAUAUUUAUGUUUAUAUUAAUUGUGGGUUGGUAUAUACUUAUACCUUAGUAAUCAGGUGCUAAUAAAAUUUGACCAACUAAAAAUGCUUAAUGCAGUCAACCAGUCAGCCUUUCCUUGUUUAACCCUUGCAUUCAUAUUCUCCUCAUACUUGCUGAGUACGACAAGUGCUCACCCUUGCUAUAAACAACAUUGCUCAGAAGAAGAAGCUGCUAUGAAGUUGUUGUGAAGAUGGUGCUGAGUUCUAGGCGUACGCAGCCCCCAGUCGAUUGCCUGUGAAGUUUGGAGCCUCCGUUUCCAUGAUUAAGCUGUAUAUCUCUGAUGGUUUCAUAAGUCUUUGUAUCUUUUUACGUGAUACUGUUGCUGUUAUUCACUAAUGAUGUCACUAUAUGUAUGAAACUUGAUCCUGGCAUACAUAUAGGUAGCACUUGGUUUUGUCCUUAAAACCGGGUGUGACACGUGCCUGCCGUCCUCAUACUGCAGCAAGGUAAGUGGAAAGUUCCCGCGUACCUUAUUCUUUUUUGGUGUCGAGCCGAUUCUUGUGUUUGAUGAAGUCGUCGCUUUGCAGUGCCGCUCCACGUGGCUUCAACCCGCCGCUGGCGCCGAAGAAGGCGCUCCGGUUGUCGGUCGCUUCUGCGGGACUAGCCGUCACCCCGCCAGGAGCGAGCGACGGCGGCAUCAGUGAGGCCGUGGCGCCCCGCGCAGAGGCGGCCUCCAAGGUUGCGGCUGAAGAGGGGGUGCCGCAGUCAUGCGCAGCGCAAGCGCUGGCCCCUGCCUCAUCUUCUGCCCCCAUAGCCAACCUAGCAGGAUAGGAUGCUGCCCCUGGGGUUCCUCCGCACAUCGAGGUGAUAGGCCUUGAGGCGGAGGAAGAGCCGGUAGGGGAGGUACCCGCGCCUGAGGCGCCGGUCGUGGAGACAGCAGUGGUGAUGGUGGCGCCUGCCCCGGCGACGGCAACGGAGACGGUGGCACGUGUUCCAGGGGCAGCGGUGGAGACGGCGGCGCCCGCUCUGGGAGGACUGUCGGCGUUGGUCGACGAGCCGUCGGCGCUCGUCAACCCCAACGCGUGGGGGGGCGACCGCACGUUGGUUCUCCUGUGGAGACCCGCAGAGGCCCCUCUUCGUCCUGGACGAUGUCGGGGAGCUGGCAAGCUGGUCGAACAUGCAGGGUGGGAUCACAGACGUCUGUGCCACCCUGUCCUCCACGAUAGGGAAGUUGGAUGGCGUCGUCGCUCCCGUCGGUCGGGUAUAGUGUUCUCUUUGGCGGUUAUCUUUUUCCUUUCUCCGUCCUUAUAUUUUCAAAUGAUUUCUAAGCACAAAUCGUUCUACAGGCCAUUCAGGACUACAGCCGGGGGAAGUCUGAGUUCCUCCGGCGUAAGCGGGGGGUCUGGGAACGCCUCUCCAGGGAGGCGCAGCAGAACGGGGAGCUAGCUGGACGGCUCGCCGCCACACACCAAAACGCCGCCGUCCUGGAAGCGCGGGAGAAGGAGGCGCAGGAAGGUGCACGGAGGACGGAGGACAAGCUCUGGGUCACCGCCAAGAAGGCCCGUCGUGACGCCGAGGAGCUCGCCCGGUUGAAGAAGGAGCAUGAAGCCCUUCAGAAGACCGUCGAGCGCAUCCGGCACGAGCGGCACACCACUCGGCAGGAGCGUGAUGUGGCUAGCCGAGAUCGUGACCUCGAGGCGGGCCGGAAGGCUGAGGCUGAGAAGAUGGCGGUCGACCUGAGUGAGGAGGUCAAUCGGCUCCAGUCGCAGGUGCAGGGUCUUCAGACCGCUGUAUCCCAAGGAGUCGACUGGGAACGUCUGUUGCGAGCCCAAUCUGACGGUAGGGACUUCGUUGUCCUUUUUUCUUCGCUUGCAGCAUUGCACUGGUUUUUGACUUUGUGGGCUUUUUUGGACAGGCCUUGAGAGCAACCUUGCUCAGUUGAGUGACACCGCCGAUGCGGAGCGCGCCGAGCACGCCAACCUGCAGGACGUCGUCCGCAUCAUCUGUGAAGACCUUGGGAUGGUCCAAGAGGAGGGGAUGAGCUCGCUAGCGGCUUGUGUCCUCGGAACGUACCAGCGGGCGCGCAAAAUUGCCCGUGAAGCGCUCCACAUUGGCGUGAGGCAGGCCUUCGACGUCCUCGGAUCCCACUACGACCGCCUCAACUUCGACGCCAUGAGCGGGGGGUACUCCUCUGGGUAUACCAAGGCCGAGCUGGACGAGAUCGAUGCAUCAGUGUUUAAUCCUAUAGAGGCCUUGGCGUAGCUCCUGGAGGAUGAGGCCAUCCCACCGGAGGACCCGAGGACGGGCUAGCUGUACCGGGCAGGGUUGCCCAAAGAAUAUUUAAAGAAUUAAGUAGUUUCGAACACGCUUUUGUGAUGGCCGGAGAGGCCUUUCUGUUUAUGCAAUUUUUUUGAAAAAAGUUCUUCGAUCCUCUUUCUAUGUUAUGGGUUCGGAAAGAUCAGAGUGUGAGCCGGACAGGUCGGGAAGCGCCGGCGAGCAAAGGCACCGUAGCCGUCGGAGGUGUAGGUUUCUCGCAGUCCGAUCGGUCUUGCUCGAGCGUCGUUUGCACAUUCUUCUCCUCCCGUGCCAAAACGUUUAGGAAGAGGGUUGGUUUGGACAAAAGCGGUGUUUUAACAAGAUGCCAAGUGUCUUGGGCCGGAGCCCUUGACAUCCCCCGAGGGAUACGUGACCCUGGGGCAGAGCCAGGGUCGGAUAUCCCUAAGUUUGGGACGAAACUUUAGCGAAAGCAACUCGAAACAUCUCUUUUCACAAACAAAAUGGUGAAAGUAUGUACAUAGCUUAGAAGUGACAGCUAAGGGUAAAAGCGACUUAGUUGUUCGAUGUUCCAAGCAUUGGCGAAGAUCUUCCUGUCGGGGGUUGCUAGUUUGUAUGUUCCUGGUCGCAGUACUUGCGCAAUGACAAACGGACCUUCCCACGGCGGGGUUAGCUUGUGCCGACCCUUGUUGCUUUGGACAAGGCGAAGCACCAAGUCACCGACGUUGAUGGCCCGACCCUGUACCUUACUGAUGUGAUACCGUCGCAAAGCUUGCUGGUACUUGGCCGAGUGCAGCAGGGCCACGUCUCACACUUCGUCAAGCUGGUCUUGCACGUCCACGAGGGAUGCUUGGUUCCCUCGUUCGUCGUACGCUCUGACCCUCGGCGACCCAUACUCCAGGUCGGUGGGGAGGAUUGCCUCGAACCCAUAGACCAUGAAGAACGGGGUGAAGCCGGUUGCCCUGCUGGGGCUUGUCCUCAGGAUCCAUAGGACUGCGGGGAGUUCCGCAACCCAUUGGCCGCCGAACUUGUUGAGGCGGUCGAAGAUCCGUGGCUUGAGACCCUAGAGUAUCAUGCCGUUGGCCCGCUCAAACUGUCCAUUCGUGCGGGGAUGCGCUACGGCCGACCAGUCCACUCGGAUGUGGUGAUCAUCGCAGAACUUGAGGAAUUUCUUCCCGAUGAACUGCGUGUCAUUGUUCGUGAUGAUGGAGUUAGGGACUCCGAAGUGAUGGAUGAUGUCGAUGAAGAAUUGCACCACCUACUCGAACUUGAUCUGCGUGAUCAGUUGAGCCUCGAUCCACUUCGAGAAUUUGUCGAUGACGAUGAGUAGGUGCGUGAAGCCCCCGAGCGCCUUCUUGAAGGGCUCGACGAGGUCCAGACCCCAGACCGCGAAGGGCCACGUGAUGGGAAUGGUCUGGGAUGCCUGGGCGAGCAGAUGAGUUUGCCGCGCAAAGAAUUGGCACCCUUCGCAGGUGCGCACCACACAGGUGGCGUCGGCGACCGCCGUCGGCCAGUAGAAGCCUUGUCGGAAGGCAUUCCCAACGAGGGUUCUUGGUGCGGCAUGGUGGCCGCAUGCUCCGAUGUGGAUGUCCUGGAGUAACGUCUUUCCUUGCUCGAUCGGGAUGCAGCGUUGCAGGAUGCCGGUAUGGCUCCGCUUGUAGAGCUCCCGGUCGAUGAUGAUGAAGGAUUUGGCGCAGCGGGUGAUCCUUCGCGCCUCUGUUUGGUCCGUCGGGAGCAACUCGCGGAUGAGGUAAUCGAGGUACAGGGCUCUCCAGUCAGGUGGGGGGUCGGACCCCUCUGCUGGAUUCGUGUCGAUUUCCAUGACCUCGGGGUCGGAGGGGUCAGCCUCCGAGUCCGGGAUAGGUGGCGUGUUGCCGAGCUCCUUUGACUCCUCAUAGCGGAUCGAGGGCUUAUGCUGGUUGCUGAUAAAGACGCUGGCGGAGACUGGUCUCCGGCUGGAUGCCGCCUUUGCCAGCUCGUCAGCUGCCUCGUUGAAGCGUCUCGCGACGUGGUUGAGCUCGAGACCAUCAAACUUGUCCUCGAGCUGGCGGACCGCGUCGUAGUAUGCCGCCAUCUUGGGGUCGUGGCAGCUCCACUCCUCCAUGACUUGUUCGAUGACUAACUGGGAGUCGCCUCGGAUGUCUAGCUGUCGGAUGCCCAGCUUGAUGGCGAUGCGAAGCCCAUUGAGAAGAACCUUGUACUCGGCGAUGUUGUUGGAUGUGGGAAAAUGGAGGCGGAUCAUGUACCUCAUGCGUACGCCGAGGGGGUAGAUGAAGACUAUGCCCACUCUGGCACGAGCUUUCAUUAGCGACCCGUCGAAGUACAUUGUCCAGUACUCCUGCUUCUCCGGCGCCGAUGGCGUCUAGACCUCCGUCCAUUCCGCGAUAAAGUCGGCGAGCACCUGAGACUUGAUGGCUGUUCGGGGCGCGUAGGUGAUGCCCUGGUCCAUAAGCUCGAGAGCCCACUUCACGAUCCUCCCUGUGGCAUCCUGAUUUCGAAUCACUUCACCAAGGGGGAAGGACGACACGACUAUCACCGGAUGAGAGGUGAAGUAGUGCGCAGCUUCCUCUUCGUAAUGAGGACUGCAUAUAUGAGCUUUUGGAUUUGGGGGCAGCGAGUCUUGGAAUCGGAUAAGACCUCGCUGAUGAAGUACACCGGGCGCUGCACCUUAAGGGUAUGCCCCUUCUCCUCUCUCUCCACCACCAGGGCAGCGCUUACCACCUGGGAGGUUGCCGCGAUGUAGAGCAGGAGUGGCUCCCUAUUGGUCGGUGGGACCAGGAUUGGGGCCUUCGUUAGGAUUUGCUUGAGCCGGUCAAGCGCCUCCUGAGCCUCGGUGGUCCACACGAAGUGAUCGAUCUUCUUCAGGAGUCGGUAGAGGGGAAGUCCUCGUUCGCCGAGGCACGAGAUGAAGUGGCUCAGGGCCGCAAGACAUCCCGUGAUGCGCUGCACUCCCUUCAGGUUUCGAAUUGGCCCCAUGCUGGUGAUGGCUGAUAUUUUCUCUGGAUUGGCUUCGAUGCCGCGCUCGGAGAUGAUGAAUCCAAGCAGCAUGCCCCUCGGCACCUCAAAAAUGCAUUUUUUGGGGUUGAGCUUGAUGUGCUUGUCUCUCAGCCUCUCGAAGGCCAACUCAAGGUCGGGGAUGAGCUGAUCACCCUUUUUGGACUUAACCACGAUGUCGUCCACAUAAUCCUCAACGGUUCGCCCGACGAGGUCCCCAAAGCACUUGAGCAUACAUCGCUGGUAUGUAGCCCCCAUAUUUUUCAGGCCAAAUGGCAUCGUGACGUAGCAGAAGGAUCCGAAGGGGGUGAUGAAAGAGGUCGCGAGCUAAUUGGAAUCUUUCAUCGCGAUUUGGUGGUAACCGGAAUACGCGUUGAGGAAGCUAAGGGUUUUGCACCAUGUGGUUGAGUCGACUAUUUGAUCUAUGUGUGGCAAAGGAAACGGAUCCUUUAGGCACGCUUUGUUGAGACCUGUAUAGUCAACACACAUUCUCCAUUUCCCAUUCUUCUUUCGUACAAGAACAGGAUUGGCUAACCACUCGGGGUGGUACACUCCCUUGAUGAACCCAGCCGCCAAAAGCUUCUGGAGCUCCUCACCGAUGGCCUUGCGUCUCUCCUCGUCGAAGCGGUGCAGGCCUUGUCUCACCGGUUUGGAGCCGGCCUUGAUGUUCAAGGAGUGCUCGGCAACUUCCCUCGGGAUGCCUGGCAUGUCCGAGGGUUUCCAUGCAAAAACAUCGUUGUUUGCGCGAAGGAAGUCAACGAGCGCGCUUUCCUAUUUGGGGGAUAGGGUAGCGCCUAUCUGCAGUGUCCUGCUAUUGGAGAAGUUGGGGUCGAGGGGGACCUCCACGCCUUCCGUGGCUUCGAAGGAGGUGGAGGACUGCUUGGAGUCGGGCAGGUCCUCGGCGCCCUCCGCAAGACGGACCGCGUGGUCCUCCGAGCAAGUGAUGUCCGAGGCGUACUCGCAGCACUCGGCAUCACACUCGUACGCCUUCUGGAAAGACGCACCGACGGUGAUGACCCCGUUGGGCCCCGGCAGCUUAAGCUUGAGGUAGGUGUAAAAGGGGAUGUCCAUGAACUUGGCAUAGCAUGGCCGUGCCAAGAUGGCGUGGUAGGUUCCGCGAAAGCCUACCACCUCGAAAGUGAGGGUCUCCUUCUUGAAGUUGGAAGGAGUCCCGAAAGUGACGCGCAGGUUGAUCUACCCGAGGGGCAUUGCCCGUUUCCCCGGCACGAUGCCGUGGAAUGGCACCUCGCUAGGAUGGAGAUGGGAUCGGUCGAUCCCCAUGGCGUCAAGGGUCUCGGCGUAGAGGAUGUUGAUGCCGCUGCCUCCAUCCAUGAGCACCUUGGUAAGGCGCUUCGUGCCAACGAUGGGGGUCGACAACGAGGGGGUAGCGUCCCAGCUACGGGAUACGCUCUGGGUCAUCGGACUGGUCAAAGGUUAUGGUGGACCUUGACCAGUCGAGGAAGGCCGGGGUAGCGGGGUCGGCUGCAUAAACCUCGCGACAUUCCAGUUUUCAGCGGCACUUGGAGUCGUAGGCCGCUGGCCCGCCGAAGAUCAUGAAGCAGCCAUCCACGUUGGGGAAGCCGUAUUCCUUCUCUCUGACAUCCUUCCUCUCUUAUUCGGGCUUCCGUCUCCGAUCGCCCUUCACCGGAUUGCCUACAAAGUACCUCUUCAUGAGGUUGCAAUCCUUGUAGGCAUGCUUGACGGGGAACUCAUGGUUCAGGCACGGUCCCUCAAGCAGCUUGUCGAAGAAGCUGGGGGUGCCCUCGGGAGGCGGCUGUCCCCGUUUGUGCUCGGCAACAGCCACGAGGGGAGCCUCGCGCCGUUGCUUGUUCUUCUUCCUCUACUAGCGGUUGGAGGUGCCCUCAUCGACGUCCUCCUCCCAUUUCGCCUUGCCUUUAGAGCGAUCAAAGAUCCCCUCGACGGCUUCUAUGCCCGAGGCAAAGCUGGUGGCGAUGUUGAGGAGCUCCUCGGUGGUCUGUGGGCCCCUGCAUCCCAACUCGUGGACCAGGGGCCUGUAGGAGGUUCCCGCCAAGAAGGCUCCAAUGACGUCUGCGUCGUCGACGUUGGAGAGCUCGGCGCUUCCUAGAGAAGCGCCGGAUGUAGUCUCGGAGGAACUCAUCCGACCCCUGACGGCAGCUCCGGAGGUCCCAGGACUUUCUGGGGCGCAUGUACGUGCCCUGGAAGUUCCCUACAAAGAUUUUCUUUAGGUCAUUCCAGUUCUGGAUCCGACCUGAUGGAAGGUGUUCCAGCCAGGCUCACGCUGAGUCAGCUAAGAAUAGAGGGAGGUUGCGGAUGAUGAAUAGGUCGUCAUCCACCCCAACGGCCUGACAGGCAAGCCGGUAGUCACUGAGCCAAAGCCCGGGGUUCGUCUCCCCAGAGUACUUAGCCAUGUUGGUGGGCUGCCUGAAACGUGUCGGGAACAGCGCGUUCAGAAUGCACGCGGAGAAUACUCUGGGCCCUACUAGGUCGGGGCUCGGGCUCCGGUCUUCUUCGCUGUCGUAGCAGCCACCACGGUGUACGUGGUAGCCGCGGUCGGCUCCGUCCUCCCUGUCUGUGCGAGAGCGCCUCCACGCGUCUAGGGUGUCACAGGCGUCGUGGAUGGGACCAACGCGCCGAUGGACAAAUGGGGCUCCGCCACCUGCAGGCAGUGGGGUUCGUCGAGCGAGCGCGGCCUGGUUCCCCCCAGGAGGAGGCUGGUGGACAGACUCCCCGUGCCUUUCAAGAGGCGUGGUGCGCGCUGCCCUGCUGGCGUUGUGCCCGUAUCGCCGGGACGCGGAGCUCUCGGCCUGCUGGACUGCGGCGCACUCAAGCAAGUUGCGAACCUCUUGGUGGGCCUGUCGCUCCUUGGGCGUCGCUGGCUCGGGGAGUCAUCGGAGUAGGGCCGCUGCGGUGGUGAUGUUCUGUCUGGCGCGUGCGAAGAGUUGAGGACGAUCCUUGUCCUCGCAGAUGCGCCGCUGGAUGUCGCGUGCCCGUUGAUUGCUCGACCUCCUGAUUGGGCACCGCGCGCGCCUCCGGUAGCCGAGGCUGCUCCGAGACCCUGGCGAGGGCUCCAGCAGUAGCUGCGGCGCGUGGUGGGGGAGUGUGCUGCCACCCUUCGCCCCGUUGUCAUUGGACCCCCGCGGAAUGUACGUCAGCCAUGAAGCACUCACGCGAGGGGUGGUGGCUCCCAUUGUUGGAACCAGCGUCGGAGGCCGUUUCCAUUACGCCCACGAACUUGUUGUUCACAGGUGGCACGAUAAUGGAUCGUUCCAGGAGACGACCGUAAGUCGUCGCGGCGUUGCGUAGGCCAAAAGGUCGCUCCUCCGAAGGAGGCCCUGUGGUGCGCGCCCGGCCGCUCACCACCGUUCCGACGGUCGAGCCGGAGGUGACGGGGUGAGCGGGCAGGACAAGGAGAGAAAUCAGCUUGAUUCCCUCUCCCGUGGCGAGGAAGUCUAGGCUCUCGAAGCGGAUGUGGGAGCCGGGAGCGAAGCCGAUGUCGUGGUUGGCCAUCCGAAGCCGGUGAUGAUCGUCAUACGCGCAAAGGCCUCCCACCUAGCGCACCAAAUAUCGGUGUUAAGAAUCACAGGUCAAGACUCCAGCAAGUAAAUUUGUUUUCUAUGCGCGUAAGGCUCGGGUGGUUGCACUAGAGGACACGAAAUUUAUACUGGUUCGGGCAGGAAUAGCCCUACGUCCAGUGUGGGAGGCUGCUCGUGUUACUCGUGCCAAGUUUGUAGUAGGGGUUACAAAUGGGCGAGAGAGGGAAACUGGUCCCAAGUCUCUGUGGGUGUGCACUGAUGCUCGUGAGGUUGGAUUACGGGUCGGGGUCGGAUCGUUCUGUUUGAGAGCCGUCCCUUUCUCGGGACCCUUGGUCCUCCUUUUAUAGUGUAAGGAGGACACAGGAGUUACAAUCGAGCCAGGAGUAAAGGGAAGUAAAAAAAGUAAGCAAGGAAGGUAAAGCACAGGGAGACGGGUCGAGCCACCGGGGUUGCCGCCUUCCCUUCUGAUUUCUACAUCCUGUCAGCAUGGCUACCAAAGAGGGGUGGUUGUCGUUGGGUCCCAUCGAUGACCCAGUAGUCGGCCACUGCACCUGAGCACGCGAGACGUGCGUGGCAACCGACCACUGUAGCCAUGCGAGUUGAUGAUGAUGACUAGCCACCGUAGCCGUACACAUCGCAGAUGACGAGCGACCACUAUAGCCACGCGUGCUAACCGGGGGGCGCGGCUGACACGCCCUUGCCGCCGAACGAGCGGGAGACUGGGCAGCGCACCCUCCUUCGUUAGGUAGCAUGGGCGAUGAGUGCCCUAUGACGAAUGUCAUAGGGGAGGGUUAGGACGGUGCAGUUGUAGCCCUGUGCAGUCAUGGCAGUAGUGCGCCACUUGAAAACUCCGGCUGGUCACGUCAAGGAACGCGGGCGCCUCUCCGUGUGUCAGAGCCGUAUUCCGGACAUCCGUGUCCCACCGAUUGCAUUUAUGGUGAGAUCGGUGGAGGCCCACAAGAUCUGCGCCCUCGUUUGCUGGUUUGAUCACGUCCUUGGGCAAGGCGAAGCUCUGUGUUGUGGGUCCGGAUACGUCCGACCCUUAGCGCCCGGGAUCCGUCGGCGAGACGGAGACCUGCUGCGAGGGGUCGGGCGAGGCGGAGACCUGCUGCGAGGGGUCGGGCGAGGCGGAGACUUGCUGCGAGGGGUCGGGCAUGUCCGACCCCUCUCGCCCGGGGGUCGGGCGAGGCAGAAUUCUCUCGGCUGGGAUGAGGAGCGGCCUCGGGGGUUUGAGCGUGUCUGACCCUGUGACCCAGGGGUCGGGCCAAGUCGGCGAAGGUCACUGUUGCUGGGGGUGGGCCCGGGCCUUUAUGACUGUUGUUUAAGGAAUAUAAGGAAGUCGUUAAUAUUUCCCCCCGACACCGUGCUUGGUUCAAACAAAAUAGUUAGGCAUGAAUCCAUAAUUGUAUAUAUGGGCAUGAAUAGUCUUUCUAGAUGAGUAAUCCUUCUCAUUUUUGCAAUUUCUGCAUGGACAACAAAUGAAACCGGACAAUGGUUUGUUAGAUUCUGCCUCAUCAAGAAAACCACACAAGCCAUUAUGUACUCCAUGGAACCUUUGUCUGCGUUGUACAUCCAUUGCCGAUUCAUCUACAAAAUAUUACCGAACAAAAAUAUUCUGAUCAUCCAUAUAAUUAUAAGCAUAUGAAUUGAAAUACUUAAUCUAAUUUUUCUAAGUAUAUACAUAUGAAUUGGUUUUUGAAGUAUAAGCAAAUAAAUUAAAAUACUUAAUUAAUUUUUCUAAGUAUAUACACAUGAAAUGUUUCUGAAGUAUAAGCAUAUGAAUCAAAAUACUUAGGUCCCGUUUGGAUACACAGUGCUAAACUUUAGCAUAAUACUAAAUUUUAGCACCCUCAAAUGGAGUGUUAAAGUUUAGCACUUGGGGCUGUUUGGAUAUAGUGCUAAAGUUUAGCACCUUGGAUGAAAACGACUACAUUGCCCUCAUUUAUGGCUGGCUUGGGGAAAAGUGGAGAGGAGAGAGAGGUGGCAACUAGGGAAAAAGUGGGCUUGGGACCACUUUUAGCACUAUUAGCAGGUUUUAGCACCCCUUGGGUGUGCCAAUGAAAAGGGGUGUGCUAAACUUUAGCACACCACUUUUUGCACACAUGUUUGGAUGCACAAGUGCUAAAAGUAUGCUAAAAGUGUUGUGCUAAAGUUUAGCACCAUGUAUCCAAACGGAGCCUUAAUCUAUUUUUUCUAAGUAUAUACAUAUGAAUUGGUUUUUGAAGUAUAAGCAAAUGAAUUGAAAUACUUAAUCUAAUUUUUCUAAGUAUAUACACGUGAAGUAUAAAACAAAUACCAUUAAACUCAAAUGUUGCUGAAAGUUUAGAGAGAAAUACACAAAUUAUCUUUAUGUACCACAAUUUAUCUCACUCACAUUUGCCAUAAUUUAUUUACCUCGUAUUUGAAAAGUACUAAACUAUGAAAAGUACUAGAAUGAAUUGUAGCAUCCAAAAAUUUGUAGCUUAUUCUACGAAUCACAAAUAUGAGCUCUAAAUAACAUGUUCAUAUAAAUGAAAAUUUUCCCAUUGUAUCUUAUUCUAAAAAUGACAAAUUACUAUAGCUCUAAAGUAUAAAAAUUAGUAUACUAACCAUAUAUCAAGGGACGAUGAAGUUUCUAACCUUAAGAACACUUGAAUGAGUGAAAUCUCCAAGAAACGGUCACAAAUCUGACAGCACCUCCCCCUAUUCACCAUGGAUAGGGUGAAGCUCGAGCUGGAGGAGAUGGCUCAGGCUGGAGGAAGAAGGAGGGAUAUUUAUAGAAAGAAAAUUAGUACCGGUUGGUGCCCACAACCGGUACUAAAGGGAUGCCCAUUAGUACUAGUUGGUGCCCCAACCCGGUAUUAAAGGAGGAGGGGUGCCACAUUAGUACUGGAUUGGGGCAGCAACCGAUACUAAUGGGUACCUCUUUAGUAACGGUUGUUGCCACCAACCGGUACUAGAGGGUAGGUGGUGCAUUAGUACCGGUUGGGGGCACCAACCAGUAACCGGUACUAAUACUAACAUUAACAUUAGUAUCAGGUCUGAAGUUGAUCGGUACAAUAUCGUGGGAUGAGAGGUUAUUUUUCUAGUAGUGGUCGAAUCCGAGUAGCUGCCAAAGUGCAUUGCAGUGCGAGUGGCGGGAGAGGAUGGCACCGGCAUAUUUCCAGUGGCAGCUAGCAGAGCUGACCUGUGAUGGGUGUGAGGAAUCGAUCAUGCAACACGCUGCAGCAACAAGCACUCGCUGUGCAUACAUGGUCGGGCAGCGCUAGUCUGUCGCCGUCCGGCGGUGAUGGAUCAAAGCUGCUUGCCGAUCUAAUCAUAAAUAUAGAUGGCCAUAUGGCCUGUGGUACGUGGGCUGGCUCACGGCACGAGAUUUUAGCUCGAUCCAGGCACGAUCUUAGAUGGACUGGGCUGGCCCGGGCCAACCUUAGUGCUGGGCCUAGGCCGUUGCGUCAUCCUGUGGGUCGGCCCGGCCCAGCACGGUUAGCGGUCGGCCCACCGAGGCACAAUGAAGGCACGCUUAAGCACGUUUAAUUGUAAUUUGUAUGUGUGUUGUAUGUGCAUUACCUCUGAAUAUAUGUGUUUGUAUGUACAAUACCUCUAAAUUUUUGCUUUUGAAAAUUUAAUUUGCUGAAAGAUUUUUUUAGUUGAGAUGGGCUAGAAUGGGCACAAUGGGCCUUUAUGGUCCUGACGGGCCACCGGGCCAGCCCGGCACAGCUAACAGCCUUUAGUGCCAAGAUUGGGCUGCUGCUUGGGCUGACCUGGCCCGGCAUGAUUAUGAUAUGGGCCAAAUUAUGCUGGGCCUAAACUGUGCCCGAGCCAGGUUGGACCGAGCCGCCCGUUUAACCAUCCGUACUCACAAAUCAUAAAAAGAAGCGCAUGGCGAGCCUCAACCUGACCAGAGGGAGGACCACGAAGGCCAUGGGAUUAAAGAACCCUUUUCAUUUUUAACCACCGUUGGAUUUGAACUAAUAUUUAAGAGGGGAGGAGGUAACCUUUGGUUCCUUUCAAGCACCAAAACAUCUCUCGUUAUAAGGUUGUUUUCAUAACAAUAAUACAGAUUAGAAUAAAAACUAGCCCGUGCAAUAAUGCAUGGAUUAUUCGCAACUAGUACAACAAAUUAUAGAUGACAAUCCAUGACCCUUGAUCAGCAUUCAGCAAACAAGAGCGGUGCCCAUGUAGCUUACAAAUUAAGCAGAUUUAUUGCUCAGAAUAUAUUUUUGACCUCAUCUGGGUGCAGGUAUAUGACAAGCAGAGCAAAAAGGCCAGUAAUUGUGAUGGCUGCACAAGUCCAGGCAGUCCAGAACUUCCGGGAGCUUUCAUACCUUUUUAUCUCUGUCAUCUGAGCCAAAAUCACAAUGCGAACUGUGUGGCAGAGGAUGCUAAACACCCCCCAGCCCACAAAGACUUUCCACGACCAGCCGCUUCCGAUGCCGUCGUAACUUGAAUGGAUGGCCAUGAUUGCUAGGAGAAUGGACGAGAUACCAGCCGUAAAAAGAUACCGGGAUAACUUGGCUUCGUCUUGCCUCACAUCAUGUAGGCUCCGUUGUGCAGGAGGAUCUUUCGUGGGCAGGCCAGAUGAACCUUCUGCGUCACACAAGCAGAGCAACGCAAGGAUGGCAAUGCCACAGCACACCAAGAACACAUACUCCUGGAGGAUCUUCUCAGCAGCCACGACAGUAGCCACGACGAGGAACAGCAGUGCGAUGUAGGCGAUGCCGGGUAUCCAUACCUUGGCCAUACGACGGAUCACGUCUGUCUUGGAGCUCAGUGAGGGUGGCACCGUGCAGAAGAGCACCACGAGCAGGCCACAAACAGCGCUGUAGAACAGGAAGCAUUCAGGUGCCACUGCCAUGUGUCCACCGGUCAGAUCUGAGGAUCCCUUCACGUAGCCAAGGACUUUGCCGGAUAGCCCUGCAACCGACGGUGCCACGACCAGGGCAGACAUCUCGAAUCCUCGAUCCAGUGAUUCCUUGAAAUGUAGCCACCUCAACCCAGGCUCUUUUCCUUGGCCUAACAUCUGACAAAAGAAGUAGAUGACAAGUACAAGGACGGAGCCGAAAAGAGCGAACACGAUCACGGUGUCUGUGGUGUUGAAGAACAGCAUUAGGGCGGUAGCAGCGGAGAUUUGCAGGAUGGUUGACAGGUAGGCCAUCAUCCAUCGCACCCUGAACUGCCGGGUCACAAACAUCAUUUUCAUUUCCAUGUCGGUGAAAAACGAGACGACGAGGCACGCCAGAUACAUGAUGGUCCACGGCGAUGUAAAACUGACUUCGUGGUAUUUCAUCUUCGCAAAGAAAGAGAGGGCCAUACAGAUGUUCACCAGAGGGACUCCCCUGCUGUAGAAAGCAGAGAGGUUUUCUUUAACCAUUUCCUCUGCUUCAAUUAUCAUUGCAUCCUACAAAAUUAAUGUAGACAGGCAGACAAGAUGUUGGCAUAAAAUUCGAUUUUCAAAUUGUAUGAAAAAGAUAAGUUGGUGAAUAAGGUCAAGAAACAUAUUAUUGAGAAAUGCAAUGGUCGUUUAUUAAAAUCUGUUAGGGUUCGUUUGGGUCAUUGGAAUUGUGCUGAAUUGGAAUCAUUCUUCCAGGGUAUGUCUGUUUGGCUGCACGUUGAAUCUAGCUAAUUGCUAAAAUAUGAUUCAUGAAAUGAAUUUCAAUUCUAGGAUCCAAAUGGUUUAAGGGUGAAAUGGUUUGAAGCAUUCGGCUUGUGCAUAAACAAUGUUCAAUUAUUAUGUGCUUGCUUAUGUUGUCACUAACCGGAGAGUUGGGAGUUAGAUGGGCAAAUGUGUCUUCACGCUCAUGAUGUGCUCAUGAUGUGCAGGCACAUAGAAUUGGCAUGUCGGUUGAUAGAGAAGCACAAGUAGAAGGCUUGACCAUAAGACUCGGAGUGGAGUCAUGGGCGACCCACGCCAUACAUAAUAAGGAGAAUGUGAGAAACAUGAGAAGAUGACCACAGCAACAUGGUUAAAACCAAGUCAAGAUGAAUGUCAAUUGAAUAGAAUGUGGCCCGAGCUAGAGUGAGAGAGGAAAUGACCUGAAGGUGCAUAUUCUUUAAGGAAUUAACAUGAGUCAAGAUCAAGGAGGCUUUAUUCAGGAUCAAGAAGGUAUUAUGUACAUGAGCCAUGACUUAUUAAGCACAAUUUGCAGAUGGAAAUUGCCCCAUUCGUAUGACUCUGCUACGACCACGUGUUUUGGAACUUUUGGUCUAUAAUAAGGGACCGUAAUCUUAACGAUUUGAUCCCCUAUUCAUUGCAGGGUUGUACGAAUGGGUCGUAUGUAUAGCAUGGUCGUAUGUAUAGCAUAUUGUCCAAACCUCAAGUGGUAGUUUCAUGUCAACUUUCAUAUUGAGAACAAGGAGGAAGGUUUUGAAGGGCUGUAGUUGUUGCUUAUGGAGCAGCACAAUAAGAUUUAAAUGAGGCCUUUCUCAUAGAAAUGUUGCAGAUGCGUAGUAAUGAAAAUAAACCUCUAAUAAUUAGUGGAGACUUCAAUACAGUAAUCAUAAAACUAGAAGGAAAAAAUAAUGAUAAAUAUGAUAGCUCUUUUACGAUGGUUGGAAGGUACCGACGGUACUUUUAGAUACUUUACCCCUCUAAUUUUUUCUGACCGUUGAUCUCAGAAUGAUAAAUAUUAUAGGGUAAGGGUACUUUACUGACAAAAAAUUAAUUAAAUUGAGUCCCGGUCCACCAGUUUUGUACUUCCUGGUACUUUGUUGUGCGUACUUCUUAUUUUUCCACAAUUGGAUUCCUACUGAUGGAUGUCUCGUAUUUUUAAGGCUACCGUAAAAUUUCUCUAAAUAUGAUGAUAGAUGGUUCAUUCUUUUUAAUACUUUUAUAGAAAGUCUGGAUUCGAGAGAUUUAGAGCUCCCAAGUGGACGAUUCACAUGAGAAAAUAUUUUUGUGACUACUGACUGGGAGUAGAAUUUCCUUUAGCCACAAUACAUGCUCUACAUAGAAAUAUUCCGAUCAUAAUGCUACUUGAUUCAGGAAAUUCUGCUCACUUUGGAACCCAACGUAUGUUUAAAUUUGAAUUAUGUCGGUUAACAAGUACAGAGUUUUACGAUUUAGUAGUAGAUGUAUGGAAAAAUAAAGUAAAAGGAUCUAGUGUGCUACAGUGAUGGUGAAAUAAAUAAGACAUGUUAGGCAAAAUAUGGUGGGGAAAAGAGUAGAAAAGAGAAAAAAAUUAUAAUGAGUUUCAUAGACAAUACAGAUAAGAGAGUGGAAUUGUCAGUUCUAUCUCAACAUAAGUCUGAUGCAUUUAGAUGUUUAAAUGAAAGAUUAUCUCAAACACUAAGAGAAGAGGAGAUAUCCUGUUAUUAAAGAUAAAAAACUAAGAAGCUUUUCGAUGGGAAUUGAAAUAAAGAAUAUUUCAGGUAAUUGCUAAUUGUAAGGUUUUUCCAGUUAGAAGGUUAUAACGGUGUGAUAAAAGAUGAAAUAGAGUCAAAAGAUUAUAUAACAAAAUUUUUACCAAGAUCUCUUCGGUUCGCUCGAUACACAAAUAUAUUCACUAUGAUGGAAGAUCGAUUUGAUGAUAUUCUGCAGGUUUCAAAUAGUGAAAACAAAACUCUAACAUUGGUUUUCUCAAAAGGAAGUGAACGAUUCUGUUUUUCAAAUGGAACACAACAAGACACAAGGUCCAGAUUGAGUGCAUGACUCGUGCGGACACCGGAAUAAAGAUUAUUCCUUUAUCUGAAAAAUUAAAUCUAAUGUUUGUCAAAUUUGUAUAUGCCUGGGUUCCCUCCUUCUAGUUUCCCUCUCCUUACUUUUGUGAUUUUUGAGCAAUACUUUGUCUUUGUUCCAAUAAUGUUAGAAAAAAAUGUACAUCAUGUGUUGCAAUAUGUAUCUUUAUUUGCUUUUGUUGUUCUUCAUAGAUUUUAAUUGCAGGAGAUUACAAUAACAUUAGAGCAAAAUAAUAUAUUCUCAUUCGUUGUAGCAUGUGUCUUUAUUUGCAACACUAUUGAAAAUUGUGGUGCCCUAUUUAGACGGUAUUAGAGUUGAGGUUCAAAGCUAGACAAACUGAAGACGUGAGAGGCUAAAGAUAGACAUUCCCUCAUGAAAAAGAGUUCACAACCUCCUUAGGAUUCGAACCCAUGACCUUCCCUUAUGAAAAAGAGUUCAUGACCUCCUUAGGAUUCGAGAUUCGAACCCAUGACCUCUUACUUCACACGAGGCACCCUUAACCACCGUACCACACAAUCGUUUGUGACUAGAAUACGGAUGCAUCGCUUUUAUAUUAACUAUGUUGGAUAUUAAAUUUAACAUUUGGACAUCAAAAUGGUCUCAAAUCCGAGUGUUUCAACCGUAAAGUUUUAGAUAUUAUCGUGGUUUUAUUUAAAGUCUAGAUUAUGUAAAUGUCAAGUUGUUUUAAUCUCUCGCUUUUCUUCCCGAUACCCGAUUCGGAGGCCUCUGCUUCAAAUGUCCAUAACUUUCUCUUACGGACUCCAAAUUAGGCGAUUUUUUAUUCUACAAACAUCUAUAGAAAAUUUUACAUCCACUGUCCCCUUUUUUGCUAGGUUUGGCGAAAUUAGAUUCACAAAAUUCGGCCCGGAAGACUUUCUAUUCCACGUUUAAAGUUUGUGCACACUUUUUAGAGUCAACUUAUGAUUUUGCGUAGGCCACAUCUUACAUCCGGCUUAGCUAAAAUUUGGUGUGGUUUCCUUUUGUGUGCUUCUAGUGCUAGGAAAAAUACCAGAAAAAUCAUGGAAAAAAUAAAAAUGUUUAGUGUUCCAAAAAAAAAAAACAAGAGCAAACACAUUAUUUUCUAUAGUCCACACCUUAUAUCCGAUUGGAUUAAAAAAAUUAUGUUCCCUUGUGUGCUCCAAAUUGAAGAAAAAAUAUAAAAAAUUAAAAAAAUAAAGAAUCGACAUGCACUGUGGUUUACAACCGGUGGUGAAGAACCCCCCUCCCCUUUCACCGCCAGUUCAAGCCACGAACCGGCAAUGAUGCCCCCUUCACCAUCGGCUCCAAUCCUCCCCCUCCCCCCAACCCACCCCCCGCCCCACUCUUCCCCAGCGCCACCUACCUUCGGGCCAACGGUGUGAUGUCCCUUCACUGCUGGUUUUUGCUAAACCAGUGGUGAAGGGGGGCGUUGGAGAAUGCUAUAUGUGUAGUGGUGAUACCUAGGCCUGUCUAAAAAGUCUAUUGGCUAGGAAUGAAUUUCAGAUGUUUACAUCACAAAACCAGCCAGUAAGAAUGCCUUAGUUGUUAUAGUUUCACUUAGACUCAAGAGGAGCCUUUAUGGCUCUAAAACAAUUGGCAAAAAAUAUCACAAAAUUAUAACCAUUUAUAAAGUAUUAGUAAAUCACUGCAAAAUGGAAUCCAUUGUUACUAUGUGAAUGGGAGAGGAAGGGUCAUGUACCAGUUCUUUGUCGUAAUCUGUUUGACGAUACUGUCGUGAACUCAUUCCUUCAAGCUAAGUACAUACCAGCCAUAUCAAGGGAAAGAUAAAUAGGCAUCAGAUAUCUCAAAGAAACAAAACUGACUGAAGCAUUUAUCUAGUAUAUUGAAUCAUUAACUAUAAAAAAUGGGCUUGUAUCAUAUGGUCAUGUCAAUCGAAUUAAUCUGGUUUACAGAACCAUCUGCCAUAGUUAUAUUCAUUAUGGAUUUUUAAUUUUCCGUUAUAUUCUAUCAAUUAUAGUUGAUCGCAAUGAAACUGAUAAUUUAGAUGUGAACUGACAUUUUAGUGAAAACGUUUAGUUCAAAACGUUUCUUUACAUGAAGCGUCAACAUCAAGGUCUGUAUAAUAUCCCCCACCUCCUCGGCCCUAGGUACAAAAAAAAGCAUAACUACCGAAAGGCUGCUAAUAAAAUUAAGGUUUGAAAUCUAUGAUACAAGACUUUUGUUCCUGCACAUUGUUGUUUACUUAUUUGGAAAAUAUGACUAUUUCAAUGCCCAUAAUCAAUUUAAGAAAAUUCAGUGAACCAAAUUUAAGUUAAAUAUCUAAGGAUAGUUUAUAUCUAGCAUAAUUAUCUAUUCUCGCUUGUAAAUGUAUGACGUUUAGACAUCAACAUGUUUUUUUAGUAAACAUUUUUUUACCACGUUUUACAUAAAAAGUGAACAAAAAUAUGGAAGUACAAUGUUAUGAAAAUAUAUCUCAUGACAAAUCCAAUGAUGACAUUUACAUGGAUUGUAUGCGUUCUAAAACAUGGUACAUUUAUGAACAUAUAUAGAUAAUACUGCUUAAAAUAUCUACCAUAAUAAUAUUUGAAUGCCACCUGCAACAUUACCUCUUGAUUGUUUAUUUUCUCUACCCUAUUUGCGGUGACUUGUGGUGGAAAUGCGCGGGUAAAAAAACAUGUAUUGCAGUGAAGAAUAAGCACCACCAUAAAGUCUAAGUUCUAAUGAAGUCAUCCUGUUCGUGACCAAAAAUUGCCAGGAUCUGGGCAGACUGGUUCUGGCAAAGUCCUCAAAAUGUAAAUUGGACUUCACCAUUGUGUAGCUCUCGUUGAUUAGAUCAAAAUGCCUAUGUAUAACGUCCGAUUUGGAAUUUUGAUGAAAGAAUUAUGAUCUCGGGAAGAUCUACACCCAGGAAAACCGGUCAGACUGGCUUGAUUUGUGUAGUCUGAGUUAGGCGUUGUAUUUUAACACGGGAUUUGUAAGGGUUUCGACUCCUAACAGGGCAAGACCUUCCCUCCCUGUAAAUAUAAAGGGCCCAAUCGAUCAAAAACAAAUCAAUCCACUAUUUUUGCUUUUGACCUUUUUUCUCUUUGCCAUAACUUUUCCAUCCCCAUCUUGUUGUUCUUUCUUUGUCUCUACAGCGUCUGAGGACGUUCUAGGUGGCCUGCUGAUCCUAGAACAACCCAAGGUGCAUCUGCCCUUACGGGUCCCUCCCGGACAAGCAUUCGAUGAUUUCUUCGCCGGGCUCGCUGGCGAAACCAGUCGGACCGGCCAUCAUACCGGUCUGACUGGCCUGUGCAAAGGAGUAGCAAGGAGCCCCCCUCUGCACGCUGCACAUUCGAGGCUUUCGUGUGUUAGUCCUAAAUUUGCACCAACACAUCCUUCUAUCCCAUACCUGUACCAUUUUGUGUGCUACAUGUGUUUCGGGAAUUCACUAGCUAGCGAAUAUUCUUGUUAACGAAAGAUUGAACGCAUUGAUUGCAGUAAAACACAGAUAUAUGGUGGCUGGUGACUGGAGAAUGAACGGGGCAACAAAAGAGAACAAAUACAUAAAUGAACUUAUAGUAUAAUUUUGGCAAUACUUACCUGACUGCCUAGCAUUCAAUGUUCGGGCCGUUGGUACCAAAUCCACUAUAAGCUGAGUAGCUGGUGCUCCACUCCUCUGCUGCGUCUUUGGAAAGGUAGUUUGAUCUUUGAACUUGCUCCUAUUUUAUAUAUAGCCACAUCAUUGAGAUGGUUUGGCAAUUUCUGCAUUCAUGUUUAUACUGAGAUACAGUUCAACUGUCCAAACACUAUGAAAGAAAUGACCUAUAGUGACACACACAAAAGGCAAGUGCCUUGCAUCACCCAUAAGACAAGAGUGACGCACAGAGAUAAUGUGCGUCACCUAUAUAUGUCCCUCGGGCAGGCGCCUAAACAUGACUCGUCACCUUCCAGUGAUCAAAAGUGACACGGCCGAAUUAAGCCCAUCACCUAACGGGCCACAUUUGUGGCCCGUCACCUAUAAGUUUAAUAUAGGUGACGGAUCUUGUUAAAGCACGUCAUCUAUAAUAGCGGUAACGGAUUUUGUUAAAGUCCGUCACUUAUAAGUUCAAUAUAGGUGAUGGGUCUUGUUAAAGCACGUCAAAGGUGACGGGCAACAUCAAAGUCCGUCACCUUUGUGACUUUUGUACAUAAUUUUAAUAUUUUCAUAAUAUUUUUUUAUUAAUUUAGAUGAUGACAAACUUUAUAUCAACAACUUCGUAGUUGAAAAGUUUUUUAUUUGAUGUCAUUUUGACAAUGAAAUCUUCAUUUUUAAAUUUAUACUUGAUAUAUCAUAAGGAAAACAAUAACAACCUAGUCACAUGUGAUGUCUAGUCUAGAUGGCAAAGGAUCCUCACGCGUGACCAGCGUUCCGGGUUUGAAUCCUGGUAGUGCCGAAGUUUGAAAAAUCGGUAUAUUUUGAGUGAAUAAAGUCUAGAGGGUAGAGGGAGUGGCUGAGUUGGCUCGUUCGUGAUAAAAAAAAUUAAAAAAAAAUAGACUAUGAAAUAGUCAUUAGUGACGGGCUAAGAAUGACGCACGUCACCAUUGUGGUGACAUAGGCGACCAGCUUUAACCCAUCACUUUUGACGGGUCAUUAGUGACGUAUCAUGCAAUGAUGUCCGUCACUAAAGAUCAGAUUUUACAUAGUGAAAAUCACUCUUUCAAAAUAUUUCUGUAUAUUUUACUUCUCUAUCUCUAUCUCCGUCUGCUAAUAUAAACCAGAUAUUGGUCCUGGCCUCCUGGGUCAUCCUUAGAGCAUGCUGAGGCUUUAUAUGUAUAUGCUUAGCUUCACAAUUGUGAUUUUGUAUAUGGCUCAUAAUAGUUUUUUAAGGAAUGCACGGUCCCUAAAAGUUGAGAACCCCAAUUCAGAAUCCUGUUGUUGGCAAAUGUGGUGAGCUCUCAAUCCUCCAUCAAUACACUACACACCAAGUCAGCCUUGCGGGGUGGGGUUAGCCUAUAUAUGUAACCACCAAACUGUUCUUAUUACCUUAUGCCAGUCUAGAAGAAGACCAGUGGCAAAGCGUGACCAAGACAUAUAUGGUGGGGCCUAUUUUGUAGUGAUUGAACAGUACGUAGUUCCAAUAGUAUGGCAGUUAAAGUAAAUGUCAUAAAACAACAAUAAAAUGGAUAUAUGUCGCAAAAAACUAUAUUUCUAUUCUCAUAAAAUAUCCAAAACUACACAUUUAUUAUCAAUAUGCAUCAAAGGACUACUCUUGUAAACUAUGAGCGAAAGUGCAUAAUUUUCUAGAAUAGAAUGAGCGGAAAAUUGUAGUUUUGUGACAUGCACUGACAACAAGAGUGUAAUUUUUGUUUAAUGCAGUUCUAUGGUAUGUCUGUCUAGAAAAGUUUACUUUUUGUAAAAACAGUAUUUAAAAGGGCAAUCUUUGCAAUACACUCCGUCCUUCAAUACAAGGGAUCCUUGAAAAUUUGAGAUAGAUUAAGGGAUGAGUAAUAGACUCAUUUGCCCCUCAUUAAGAGGGCGCAUCACAUGAUUUUUCGCACAGCAUAAUCAUAAAUAAGGUAUUUGGGAUUCAAAUCUAGGACCUCUUACUCCAUAUGUAGCCUCAUCAUUAUUAUCAUCUCACGUGCACUACGUAUAUGGCUUAUUAAGAGAUUCUAUUUUUUAACAUCACAUCUGUAUACUUUUUAUUACCUACUUGGUGACACAAACAAUCUAAAAUAAAAAACUAUUUCAUGAAAAGAGUUGUAGAUCAUCCAUGAUCUACAAACUUUGAUAUAGAGUUUAUAUCUGUACGAGGUCAUUUGAAAAAUUCAAAUAUUUGUUUGUUUAAAUAGGUCUGAGGACUUGUAACAAAUAUUUGGGCUCCUAAACGAUCCCAAAUGGAAAUAUUAUUAGUGACUACAAAGUUGUAUAGCUUGUCGAGCUAUACAAUUUUGAUAUAGAAUUUGUCUUCUCUAACUUCAUAAUAUAAAAUGUAUGAUUCUUUCAUUAAAAUCGGGAUGUUUGGACUUAUAGAAAUCUAAGUGUUGUGAAAAAGAUUUUUUGGAGUAGCGAGUAACCUUAAUUACCACAUGGCGCGGAAUUUUCAAAGGGUCCAUGUCAUAUUUAUAUUUUAUUUGCAUUGGUCCACCUAUAUGUUGUGUAGAACUAAUUAAGCAUGAAUUGACACUGAUUACAUAAAUCUUAGGCUAAACAUGAUCACAGUUUCUAGACACAUGCAUAUAUAAUAGAUGCAUACCGGUGUUGUUGUUCGGCAUGGAAUCCUGUGUACUUGAUGUAGGUAGGCGUCAGUGUGUUGAUGAUGGCGUUGAUGUAGUCACCGAUCAAAGGGCUGGGUGAACUCUAUUCUCGAUCGCCGGCGAGCUAGCUUGGGGUUACAGCGGUCCGAUCCUCCGGUUGGCAACGAGAUUGUUCAGGAUACGGCCGGACAAGCUUCUAUCCUCCUCCAAAGGCUGGCUCUAAGUUGAUAGCUGGUUUAGGCCAGGGUUUGCUAGAUUGCAUGAAUUGGAUUGAUAGGUAGGCAUCCUGCUUAGGUAUAUAUAGCACUGUAGAGCUAAGGGUCCUUUCAUUUUAUCUUAUUUAAAUCGGUUGUAAAUCCAUCGUAUUCGAAUUCCCAGUUUGGUUUUUGUUUUCCUUUCCUUGUCAGUCACGGUUGGUACGGUGGAGACCAUGGCCAGCUAUGUCCUCUUGGUUGUUGGCUGAGAUCACAUUCUUGCUUUACUGCAUGUGGACAGCUGCUCGCUUUACUCUUAAUUAGUCCUGGUACAUUAUUAAGACAGAAAGAAUGGCCGCCAUCACAACGUUUACAUUACGAAAAGCUCUAAUAACUAGCCAGCUAACCAUGCAUGUUCAACUAAGAAUUGAUGCGCAUGUGGACAACUGCUCGCUUUCUAUGAUGAAUACCUCGUGACGAAGUGGUCCAUUCUAUUAAUAUAUUAUUUACAUCUUUUCGCAAAAUUUGUUGUGCUAGCUAUCUAUAUUUUCUUGAUAAAUUUACACUUUCAUUGCUUCACAAUUUCAAGAUAAUUAGUAACUUUCAAAAUUUAGAAAAGGGAACUUAGGAAAAGCAAAAUGUAUCACAUAUGUUAACUAAAUGUAAUCACUAGCCCGCACAAACGUUGGAGGCAAACCAAGUAGGGAAUGGUUAACAGCCUUGAUGCCGGCAUGUACACGUACGAUGGGAAUUCAAAAAAAGGAUGAAGUUUAUUUUAUACUAUCUCCAUUUAAAAAUACUUGACGUAAAGUAUUUCCAAAUGGAGGGAGUAUAUUCCUUGGUCCAAUUUCUACUAUUUUAAAUGCACGUGGGCCAUUGCUGGUUCCAUCCAUCGUCCAGGUACGUGGAUGUAGAAUGAUUCGUCAUUAUUAUCGACGACGAUUUGGGCCGAACACAAUAAUGAUCUGGCUAACCUUGCCCACUAACUAAUAAGAAUAUUAGACUUUGUAUAUGCAAUGCGUAUACACACCAUGCCCCAGAAUUUUCAAAUCGUCGAGGUCUUAUUUAUGAAUUAUUCGGUCCAUUUGUAUUCUGCUUUAGUGCGUCGGGCAAGUGCUUUCUCCAUGUGUGCUUUUGCGUCUGUCACAUCAAAUGUUUAGAUACUAAUUAGGAGUAUUAAAUAUAGGCUAAUUACAAAAUUAAUUGCAUAGAUGGAGUCUAAUUCACGAGAUGAAUCUAUUAAGCCUAAUUAGUCCAUGAUUUGACAAUAUGGUGCUAGCUACAGUAACCAUUUGCUAAUGGUAGAUUAAUUAGUCUUAAUAGAUUCGUCUCGUGAAUUAGCACAAGGGUUCUGCAAUUAGUUUUAUAAUUAGCUCAUGUUUAGUUCUCUUAAUUAGCAUCCGAACAUCCGUCCAUGAUUUGACAAUAUGGUGCUAGCUACAGUAACCAUUUGCUAAUGGUAGAUUAAUUAGUCUUAAUAGAUUCAUCUCGUGAAUGAGCACAAGGGUUCUGCAAUUAGUUUUAUAAUUAGCUCAUGUUUAGUUCUCUUAAUUAGCAUCUGAACAUCCGAUGUGACACUACCAAAGUUUAGCACCUAUUAUCCAAACACCCCCUUAGUCCAGGUACAUUGGAGAUGGAAUGAUUGAUCAUCAUUACAAUCACGAUUCACGACCAUUAGGAGGAAAAGCAAUAGUAAUGACCGGGCAAACCUUGUUUAGUCACUAUUUUUUUAUAAUGAAAGAUUUAUUGAUUCCGAAUAGCAAUACAUAUCGAGUUGAUAUAAAAUUUUGAAAAUAAUAUUGCAUAAAAUUUUGAAAAUAAUAUUGACAUAACAAUGCAAACAACCUAAAAUUUGAACAAGACUAACACACUAUUGACAAUCAGUCCUAGCUAACACUAGACCGGUACGCAUGUGUUUGGGUUAAAAAUUCAUUGACCACCCACGUCAAGCGUUAUGAUGCCGUUACAACCAAUUGCUGUGAAGUUGGCUUUCGCAGGAGAAUCCGUAGCUACAGCUAAUGAUAAUUAAGUAGAUAUGGCAUUUCAGAGCGAACGUUUAAUUCUUUCAUCAUAAAUUUAUUUCAUAACAAUUUCGAUCCAUGGUGGAAAGUGUGACCUAGCUGUCAGGCCAAAAUUCGUCAUAAACUACUCCUAUGGCAUAUUCGUUAUAAACAUAACUACUCAUAUGACAUUGUGACGAUCAAUCUUUCAUGAUAGUCUUUGUUCAUGAUAAUUUUUAAUCAAGCAUGGCUCACCAGUUUGAGCGAGAACCCCGUACCAUUGGGUGUCACAAGUUAGAUUUAGGUAGAAAAAAAGUAAUUUGUUAAAUUUUCAUAAAUUCUAAAAACAUUUGUAAAAUUCAGAUAAAUAUUAUAAAAAUUUAUAAAUUUCAUAAAUAUUUACUAAACUUUAAUAAAUUCUAAAAAUACCUUUUGGAAUUCCAAAAAUGUUAACAAAAUUCCAAGAGAUAUUUAUAAACUUUUAGGAAAUAUUUGUAACGGUGGAUAGUCGAUGAGGACAUCACCUGCUCGGAUACAACCACAUUGUCAACUUUUGAUUCAAAGAAAUAUAUACGUGGAUCAAAAAGAGGUGUUAAACACACAUGGAAGGUAUGGAGGACCAAAGAAGUUGAUCGAUUGGGAACAAGUCAGAGUAUUCCCAACGUCCUCCACCAGGCCACCAUGUCACUUUUGGCCCAAGGAAGGAAAGAGAUCAAAUCCAACUCGUUUCAGGGUUGGAUUCGGACUGCAGAAUAGCACCAACUUGUGAUGGAUUGGGACGUUCUGAAAUCCUUAUCAAGUCUACUUUCAUACGGAUCUGGACUCAUGUCAAUAUCUAUUCUAAGACGGCUGUAAUCAUCAAAUUACUACCGAGAGGUUUUUCUAUCCAAGGUGUUGUAUCGCCUUAUUUUGACCUAAUGGGUUGUGUAUCAAGUUGAGUCCAUUAGGGAUGCGUCCUAGGGUAGGAGCACGACCCCAAAAACCUUUUUGUCAUCCUCCCACAUUCUUAUACCGCUUAGCCGCCACCAGGAACACUCGAGUUUUGUUUAAAUGUAAGUUUAGCCAUUGCUACUUCCUUGUAGACACGUGUGUCGACUAGACCGUUCUACUCGAUUAAGAACCCCAACUUUGUGAUUUCAAAUUAAUUUUUAUCUCCAUAUUUGUAAUUGAGUUGCUUGUUCUACUUGUUCUUGCUUGUUCCUCGAUUGCUUGUAGGUAUAUAUAGCAUUGUAGAGAUAAGGGUCCAUUCCUUUUAUCUUGUUUAAAUCGGCUGUAAAUCCAUCAUACUCCCAAUUUGAUUUUUGUUUUCCUUUCUUUGUCGGUCACGGUUGGUGGAGACCAUGGCCAGCUAUCCUUUGCUUUAGUCCAUAUGGGCAAUUGCUCGCUUUACCCUUAAUUAGUCCUCGUACAUUGAGAGUGAUUGGCCGCCAUCACAACGAUUACAUUUGGAAAAGCACUACUAAUUAGCCAGCUAACCAUGUUCACAUAAGAAUUGAUGCACAUAUGGCUUUAUAUGAUGAAGACCUCAUGACAAAGUGGUCCAUUCAAUUCUAUUAAUAUAUUAUUUAUUACAUCUUUACACAAAAUUUGUUGUGCUAGCUAUCUAUAUUUUGUUGACCAAUUUACAAUUUCAUUGCCUCACAAUUUCAAUAUAAUUAGUAACUUUCAAAAUUUAGAAAAGGGAACUUAGGAAAAAUAAGAUGUAUCACAUUUGUUAACAGCCCGCACAAACUUUGGGGGCAAACCAAGUAGGUAAUGUUUAACAGCCUUGGAUGCCAGCAUACACAUGCACGACAGUAAUUUUUUAAAAAUGGGACGAAGUUUAAUUUGUACUACCUCCAUUUUUUAUGCAAUAAGCACAUUAGACUUUGUAUGCAAUGCAUAUAUAAACACCGUGCUCCAGAUUUUUCAAAUGGUCGCUGUCUUAUUUAUAAAUUUAUUUGUUGCACUAGCUAGCUGGGUGCCCGUGCGUUACUAAGAAAUACUUAGUUACAUAUGCAUAAAUUCAAAUUAUCAUUAGAGAAGAUCAAGUGAGAUUCACGUUGGCCAGCUAUCCUUUGCUUUAGUCCAUAUGGGCAAUUGGUCGCUUUACCCUUAAUUAGUCCUCGUACAUUGAGAGUGAUUGGCCGCCAUCACAACGAUUACAUUUGGAAAAGCACUACUAAUUAGCCAGCUAACCAUGUUCACAUAAGAAUUGAUGCACAUAUGGCUUUAUAUGAUGAAUACCUCAUGACAAAGUGGUCCAUUCAAUUCUAUUAAUAUAUUAUUUAUUACAUCUUUACACAAAAUUUGUUGUGCUAGCUAUCUAUAUUUUGUUGACCAAUUUACAAUUUCAUUGCCUCACAAUUUCAAUAUAAUUAGUAACUUUCAAAAUUUAGAAAAGGGAACUUAGGAAAAAUAAGGUGUAUCACAUUUGUUAACAGCCCGUACAAACUCUGGAGGCAAACCAAGUAGGUAAUGUUUAACAGCCUUGGAUGCCAGCAUACACAUGCACGACAGUAAUUUUUUAAAAAAGGGGAUGAAGUUUAAUUUGUACUACCUCCAUUUUUGUAUGCAAUAAGCACGUUAGACUUUGUAUGCAAUGCAUAUAUAAACACUGUGCUCCAGAUUUUUCAAAUGGUCGCUGUCUUAUUUAUAAAUUUAUUUGUUACACUAGCUAGCUAGCUGGGUGCCCGUGCGUUACUAAGGACUACUUAGUUACAUAAGCAUAAAUUCAAAUUAUCAUUAGAGAAGAUCAAGUGAGAUUCACGUAAGAGAAAUACAUAUACUGCAUGUCUCUAAGCAAGAAGAUUAUCAUCUCAAAGAAACAACCCCUACUAUAGUGUUGCCGAAUCUUGUAACUUCCAUUUGCUCGAGAACAGUUGAACACAAUACUUCAUGUAGUAACUAACUAAUCCACCAGAUGUAUGUAGCUGGUUGCCCGUGAAAAAAAAUCAUAUGUUUUGGUACACAAAUAGCAAUUUACAAAUUUUCUUUGUAAAUUACAAUUUUGUUUAUACAUAGUACAAAAAUAUAACACCUAGGAAAAGGGUAUUGUUUUUUUUCAAAUUGUUUUAUAAGUUAAAAAAAGAAAAGAGAGAGAAGGAAGUCCAGUUUUGCCUCGUCAAGUAAAUGGCAUUCUGGAUGAAAUGAAGGAUCGGUGGAUUCAUCUAGUCGAUCUGUUUGCUGGUCUUUGAAAUACAUAUUGCUGCUGCUGCUGCUGCUACCACGCCUCUGUAAAUUCUUGUUGCUGUUGUCGUGCACACUUCCGGUUCUAGUACUCUGCUGCCGCGCUAAUACUUGUGGCUGGUGCCACACACUGCAACUACAUCGAUCCAGGAUCCAACAUCUCAUGGAACAAAUUCUUUUCCCCGGUCACCAUGAAGCAUCUCGAUCAAUUCUGCAUGCACAAAAGGAAACAACAAGAGAAUAAAACAGAAAUAGCGUCACAGAUAUUCAGUUUUAGAAAUCACUGCCAGAGCCUCACUUUGCAGUCUAUGUCUACCUGACCCUGACGGAGCCUUUGCCACCGCAUCCAAAGCACCCCUGUUGCUACAACCAAAGCCGUCCAACACUCCACCACCCUCCUGGGAGCAUCAUCGGAUAAAGGCACGCCAACCCCAAUGAGCGGCAGCGACGACUCCGCAGCCUAGCUCGGUGCAGGCGGAUGCCGCUGCCAGUUCGCCGCCGUGUUUUCCACGUCCUCGGCGCGUCCCCGGCGUGCUCCGUGACCUCAGUCCUUGUCUCCGAGGUCGCACGACGUGCAGAUAGGCAGAUACUCCCUCUCGGCGACACGACAGUAGCUGUGCGCCAAUGCACCUCAACCUUCCAGCUCACCACGGUUUACGGCCCGUCCAGGCACAAUGAGAAAGGGGCCUUCCUCCAACACAUGCGUAGCUUAAAGCCGGAUGAUGACACCAACCAUGCCGCAUUAUUUGGAGUAUUGAAAGACGGUCCAUGCGGCUUUAUUUGGAGUAAUGAAAGACGUAGACCAACUAUAAGCCGCAUGGACCGUUUUUUCUGUAACGAAAGCUGGGACUUGACUUUCGACGGGGUCACGUUCUACACGCACUCUCUUCUUCACACUUCGACCACUGCCUGCUGCUACUUGCUCAGCGCUCGGGGCCGCGUGGACCAUCAACCUUCAAGUUCAAGAAUUUUUGGACUCGCCUCCCACGUUUCCAGGAAAUUGUCAGUGACGCAUGGAACAAACCGACGCAACACAUUGAACCAUACCAUCGAUUGAGCCACAAGCUCUGCGUCACAGCAAUGGCUCUGAGGAAAUGGAGCUCUACUAUCAUCUCGGAUGCCAGAUUGAAAUUUCUCAUGGCCCAGGAGGUCAUUCUGUGUCUCGACGUGGCACAAGAACUUCGAGAACUGUCCAACGCUGAACUCUCACUACGCGGAAAGCUCAAAAAGAGGCUGCUAGGAUGGGCGAUCGUGGAGAGAGCAAGGAAGAAACAGUGUUCACGAAUCACAAAUAUUAAAGAGGGAGAUGCCAACACAAAAUUACCUACGAGCAAACGGCCGGCGACGAAAAAACUUUAUUUAGUGACUAUGAAAAGCGCAGGGAUGGGCCGUAACACACCCCGACAAGCAAGAAAUCAUCUGUGAACAUUUUAAUGCCACGAUGAGUGCUCCCGAACAACAACGUCAUGAUUUCCGCUAGGAAGACCUUCCUUUUCGAGAGGUCGACCUGUCUUCACUGGACAGCCCAUAACCGAAGCCGAGAUCAGGCAGGCCAUCUCAAAACUACCUCAGGACAAGGCGCCAGGUCCAGAUGGAUUCACAUGAUGGUUCUUUAAACCGUGCUGGGACACUAUCAAAGGCGACGUAGUGGCGGCAGCUAGUCAACUCGUUUUUUAUCUACGCUGAAGGACCUGCAAUGACCUGAACCUCCUCAACACAGCCAACAUCGUCCUCAUCCAAAAAAGGAUGGCGCAGAUACAUUAAGGACUACAAGCCAAUCAGCCUCAUCCACACCUUCGUGAAAAUAAUUAGCAAGAUCCUAGCACUGCGAUUAACACCUUACAUGCACCAGCUUAUCUCACCAUAUCAAAACGCCUUCAUCAAGGGGUGUAGCAACUUUCUAUACGUCAGGAACAUCGCUCGACGAUUCCAUAGGAACAAGACAACGGCGCUACUCAUGAAGUUAGACAUUUUGAAAACCUUCAACUAAGUCCGCUGGGACUACUUAAUGAGCCUAAUGCAGAAUCGAGAAUUUCCGCAACGGUGGCGGAACUGGAUCGCGGCUACUCUCACCACCUCCUUCUCAAGUACUCUCACCACCUCCUUCUCCAAGAUACUACUGAAUGGCAUUCCCCUGGAGCCAAUCCUCCACGGCAGAGGCCUGCGGUAGGGAGAUCCCCUGUCGCCGAUGCUCUUCAUAUUGGCCAUAGACCCCCUCCACAAACUACUCAAUCGAGCAACAGAGGCAGACUACAAGAAACACCCCCUCUAGAUACGUUUUAUUUUUAGAUUAGAUACGCUUUAUUUCAUCUCUAGUGAAUUAUAGAUACGCUUCACUAAAGCAUGUCUGGAGCGUCUCCCCAUGGACCGUGUCAAGAACUGUAAACAUGUUUUGUCAAACGUGUCUACAAGAUAAGAGACGCUUUCUAGAGACGGUGACAAGUGUGUCUACCCGACAUGAGACGUUUUCUAAAGACAGUGCUAAGCGUGUCUCGUAGUAGACAUGAAACGCUUCGCAGAUAUGGUGAAUUACGUAUCUACGCCUUAUAGACAUUUUAAAUUAAGCAAAGUUGAUGCGCUCUUUGUAUUUUUCUUUCUCAAUGCUAACAGUUUCAGGAACUAUUUUCUAAUAUAAUACAUGCGUAACCAUAUUUACUUUGGACACCAUAGUACGGAUGAAAAAGUACAUGAAAUGUAUUCAUUUAAUAUUAGAGCAAUAGAGUUAGCAACAAAAUUAAUCAUCCCCAUACAUUUAGAUAUUACAUAUUCCCUUAAAACUUACACAUUGCAUUCUAAUUCUAUUUAAAAAGCUUUGCACAAGCAGACAGACACUUCUCUUCGAUUCUCAAUCUAUCUUCGCCUAUGUUUAUUGACAUGCUUCUAUGAUCCUGCAAAAUAAAUAAAUAAAUAAAUUCAAUAAAAGUUCUAGAAAAUACAACCACACAUAUUUCUGUCAUGAAUUUAGAAAAAAAGGCUUAGCUAGCGAUAG